rnacentral:rRNA from 1 species
GGGUUGUGAGGUUAAGCGACUAAGCGUACACGGUGGAUGCCCUGGCAGUCAGAGGCGAUGAAGGGCGUGCUAAUCUGCGAUAAGCGCCGGUAAGGUGAUAUGAACCGUUAUAACCGGCGAUACCCGAAUGGGGAAACCCAGUGUGAUUCGUCACACUAUCAUUAACUGAAUCCAUAGGUUAAUGAGGCGAACCGGGGGAACUGAAACAUCUAAGUACCCCGAGGAAAAGAAAUCAACCGAGAUUCCCCCAGUAGCGGCGAGCGAACGGGGAGGAGCCCAGAGCCUGAAUCAGCAUGUGUGUUAGUGGAAGCGUCUGGAAAGGCGCGCGAUACAGGGUGACAGCCCCGUACACAAAAGCGCAUGUGUUGUGAGCUCGAUGAGUAGGGCGGGACACGUGGUAUCCUGUCUGAAUAUGGGGGGACCAUCCUCCAAGGCUAAAUACUCCUGACUGACCGAUAGUGAACCAGUACCGUGAGGGAAAGGCGAAAAGAACCCCGGCGAGGGGAGUGAAAAAGAACCUGAAACCGUGUACGUACAAGCAGUGGGAGCACCCUUUGGGGUGUGACUGCGUACCUUUUGUAUAAUGGGUCAGCGACUUAUAUUCUGUAGCAAGGUUAACCGAAUAGGGGAGCCGGAGGGAAACCGAGUCUUAAUUGGGCGUUAAGUUGCAGGGUAUAGACCCGAAACCCGGUGAUCUAGCCAUGGGCAGGUUGAAGGUUGGGUAACACUAACUGGAGGACCGAACCGACUAAUGUUGAAAAAUUAGCGGAUGACCUGUGGCUGGGGGUGAAAGGCCAAUCAAACCGGGAGAUAGCUGGUUCUCCCCGAAAGCUAUUUAGGUAGCGCCUCGUGAAUUCAUCUCCGGGGGUAGAGCACUGUUUCGGCUAGGGGGCCAUCCCGGCUUACCAACCCGAUGCAAACUGCGAAUACCGGAGAAUGUUAUCACGGGAGACACACGGCGGGUGCUAACGUCCGUCGUGAAGAGGGAAACAACCCAGACCGCCAGCUAAGGUCCCAAAGUCAUAGUUAAGUGGGAAACGAUGUGGGAAGGCCCAGACAGCCAGGAUGUUGGCUUAGAAGCAGCCAUCAUUUAAAGAAAGCGUAAUAGCUCACUGGUCGAGUCGGCCUGCGCGGAAGAUGUAACGGGGCUAAAC